AUUGAACGCUGGCGGCAGGCCUAACACAUGCAAGUCGAGCGAGCGGCGGACGGGUGAGUAAUGUCUGGGAACCUGCCUGAUGGAGGGGGAUACCUACUGGAAACGGUAGCUAAUACCGCAUACCAUCAGAUGUGCCCAGAUUGUCUUAGUUUGUAGGUGGGGUAACGGCUCACCUGGGCGACGAUCCCUAGCUGGUCUGAGAGGAUGACCAGCAACACUGGAACGGAGACACGGUCCAGACUCCGACGGGAGGCAGCAGUGGGGAAUAGUGCACAAUGUGCGGAAGCCUGAUGCAGCCAAGCGGGGUGUGUGAAGAAGGCCUUCGGGUGGUAAAGCACUUUCAGCGGGGAGGCGUUACCCGCAGAAGAAGCACCGGCUAACUCCGUGCCAGCAGCCGCGGUAAUAC
rnacentral:rRNA from 1 species